AUGCAUUGCAGUUCACAGCACCUGGUCACCUUUCAGACAAACCACCUUACUUACUUCCUAUUCUACAGCUGCGGAUUUCCUAUGCAUAGAAUCCUCCUCUGGGACUCACCAUACUGUGUGUGCAGGCUCCACUGGGCCCUCCAUGUUGCCUUGAGAGAUCUGAGGACUGGUGCGACAAUACUGAUACACCUGUUUCUCCUGCUGCAACUGGUAAAGUCCUUUGUCUCUGACUCAAGAGUCCCACGUCAGCAUCCAUGGAACUGCGACAGGCUUACUUAUCAACUUGUAUGGUUUUUUGUUGGAAGUUAUCCUGCUUCUGCGAUGUCAAAUUUAUUGAAAUUUGAAGCUGAAAGUAUGAUUCUGAGACAAGGACACGUACCCUUGAAAUACUACUUGGUUCGUGCUGGACAUUUAAAGGUCAUGUCAAGUAAUAUAAGCAUGAACAAAAAUACCAACUCUGAAAUUUUAAGUGCGUUUGGAGAAGGCAACUUCAUAGGGGAUUUUUAUGGUAUUCUUGUACAGAGAGUACAACAAUAUCAAGAAACAUGCAACUUCCUAAGGGAAAUUACCAUAAAUUAAUUACUAUGGUUUUUCCAGUGGUCAUGUAUGGAUGUGAGAGUUGGACUGUGAAGAAAGCUGAGUGCCAAAGAAUUGAUGCUUUUGAACUGUGGUGUUGGAGAAGACUCUUGAGAGUCCCUUGGACUGCAAGGAGAUCCAACCAGUCCAUUCUAAAGGAGAUCAGUCUUGGGUGUUCAUUGGAAGGACUGAUGCUAAAGCUCAAACUCCAGUACUUUGGCCACCUCAUGUGAAGAGUUGACUCAUUGGAAAAGACCCUGAUGCUGGGAGGGAUUGGGGGCAGGAGGAGAAGGAACGACAGAGGAUGAGAAGGCUGGAUGGCAUCACCGACUCGAUGGAUGUGAGUUUGAGUAAACUCUGGGAGUUGGUGAUGGACAGGGAGGCCUGGCAUGCUGUGAUUCAUGGGUUCGCAAAGAGUCGGACACAACUGAGCAAAUGAACUAAACUGAAUUAUUGGAAAUCAGUUCAUCAAAUUAGGUAGUAUAAACUAGUUUAGUAGACACUUAAGUGGAAAUCAGUUUGUCAAAUUAUUUAGGCUUAGAUUAGCUUUGAAGUGGUGGAUAGUGGACAUCAAGGCGAAAAUCCUUAGGAAGGUGCCAAGGAGCCUCAGAGAAAGAAAACAUAUAGAGACAGAAGUGGAGAACCAAAGUCAAACUUCAUCUACUUAAUAGAUGUACUUACCUCAAAUUAUUCUGCCUAUACCAUUGCACACUUGCUUAAAUGAAAUCUCCUCCCUGCCUCUUUUAAAUGGUGUAUUUCCUCAGUAUCUCCAAAUAGAGCAGAGUGUUGCUUUUUGAGACUAGACACUGUGGCUGUCUCUCUUCUGCUCUCCCCACCCCUACCCCAAAUCUACAAUACUGGCAUAAAGAAGAUGCCCAAUGAUUGAUUGUGAGUGGAAAGCACAUAAAAACACAUAAAACUUCAUUCAGUCUCUUUCUUGCUCAUUUUAUUUUUAGCCUAGCAAGCAAUAGUUGCAAUGAGUAUUUUUGUAUGAAUAAAUAAAUUUUCUCCAUGGUCUCUGAAUCCACCCUCCCCUUUUUCUUUCAGGGCUGGAACAACCAUUAUCUCUGACAACUUUAAACUCACACUCCCUUGUAUUCAUUGUAUCU
rnacentral:lncRNA from 1 species